UUGGGCUCAGAAAAUGAUACCCCAAAAUGAAGGCUUCAGAAGCAUAAGUUUCUCUCUGACUUUCUCCCACUUUCCUGUCUCUAGCCCCUCAUUCUCCCCUGAGGCUAGCCAAAGAAACUAGAAUUCCUCUUUUUUUUUUUUUGAGAGGGAGCUUCGCUCUUGUUGCCCAGGCUGGAGUGCUGUGGCGUGAUCGCCGGCUCACCGCAAGCUCCGCCUCCCAGGUUCAAGCCAUUCUCCUGCCUCAGCCUCCCGAGUAGCUGGGAUUACAGGCAUGUGCCACCACACCCGGCUACUUUUGUAAGGUCAUAAGACCCCGAUUCCAGAGAAAGUCCUGCCCUGUACCUAGAAGGAAGGAAUGUUGCACAGAAAGGCCAAGAGGAAUCUAGACAGGCAGACCCUGCUGUCUCCCCACUCAGUCUGUUAUUGUUAUCAGAAAGGGGCCCCAAUCUAGACCCCAAAAGAGGGUUCUUGGAUCUCGCCCAAGAAGGAAUUCAGGCAAAAUGUGAAAAGAAAGAGAUCAUCUAAAGGAAGGACUUAAAAAAAAAUCCGGAACUUGCAAGUUUUGAAAAUUCCCAGCUUCCCCAGAUGGCAAAUGAUGCUACUGUGAAAAAAUGGCUUCCAGGCAAGGAAAAACUCCAGGACAUUCCCAGCAAAACAUCAUCAAAUGAUGAAGAAUGGUGCUUCAAUUCAUGUUUCAAAAGCAGACACAGAAAUAAUUUCCAGAGAAAUGAGCUGGGGGAAAACAGAAAUGUGUAUGGAAUUGGAACAAAAUAAACCUGAUUUUUUUCAACAUUGUAUAGAA
rnacentral:lncRNA from 1 species